rnacentral:rRNA from 1 species
CCGUAGCCCAAGAGACUGGGAUAACACCUGGAAACAGAUGCUAAUACCGGAUAACAACACUAGACGCAUGUCUAGAGUUUAAAAGAUGGUUCUGCUAUCACUCUUGGAUGGACCUGCGGUGCAUUAGCUAGUUGGCAAGGCAACGGCUUACCAAGGCAAUGAUGCAUAGCCGAGUUGAGAGACUGAUCGGCCACAUUGGGACUGAGACACGGCCCAAACUCCUACGGGAGGCAGCAGCC